AUUGAACGCUGGCGGCAGGCCUAACACAUGCAAGUCGAACGAGUGGCGGACGGGUGAGUAAUGUCUGGGAAACUGCCUGAUGGAGGGGGAUAACUACUGGAAACGGUAGCUAAUACCGCAUACCAUCAGAUGUGCCCAGAUGGGAUUCGCUAGUUGGUGGGGUAACGGCUCACCAAGGCGACGAUCCCUAGCUGGUCUGAGAGGAUGACCAGGCACACUGGAACUGAGAGACGGUCCAGACUCCUACGGGAGGGAGCGGUGGGGAAUAUUGCACAAUGGGCGCAAGCCUGAUGCAGCCAUGCCGCGUGGAUGAAGAAGGCCUGCGGGUUGUAAAGUACUUUCAGCGUGGAGGCGUUACCCGCAGAAGAAGCACCGGCUAACUCCGUGCCAGCAGCCGCGGUAAUUC
rnacentral:rRNA from 1 species